AGUAACACGUGGAUAACCUACCUAUAAGACUGUGAUAACUUCGGGAAACUGUAGCUAAUACCGGAUAAUAUAUUGAACCGCAUGGUUCAAUAGUGAAAGACGGUUUUGCUGUCACUUAUAGAUGGAUCCGCGCCGCAUUAGCUAGUUGGUAAGGUAACGGCUUACCAAGGCAACGAUGCGUAGCCGACCUGAGAGGGUGAUCGGCCACACUGGAACUGAGACACGGUCCAG
rnacentral:rRNA from 1 species